UACGUAGGUGGCGAGCGUUAUCCGGAAUGAUUGGGCGUAAAGGGUGCGUAGGCGGCACGCUAAGCCUGAUGUGAAAGCCCGCGGCCCAACCGCGGGAGUGCAUUGGGAACUGGCGGGCUGGAGUACCGGAGGGGCAGGCGGAAUUCCUAGUGUAGCGGUGAAAUGCGUAGAUAUUAGGAGGAACACCAGUGGCGAAGGCGGCCUGCUGGACGGAGACUGACGCUGAGGCUCGAAAGCGUGGGGAGCAAACAGG
rnacentral:rRNA from 1 species